GUCUCCGUGGUCCAGUGGUUACGACGUCCGGCUGUUAUCGUCAUGUUAUUUAACAUGCAGACUACCGGGAUAUCGGCGGUUCGAUCCCGCCCGGGGACG
rfam:Talaromyces stipitatus ATCC 10500 scf_1105507295523 genomic scaffold, whole genome shotgun sequence.